rnacentral:tRNA from 1 species
GCAAUUGAGGUUGGGUCCGGAAGUGAGUUGAAGUCAUUUUUUUCGUGUGGUUGUGCGACGAUUGCU